AUGAAGGAUCCCGGGGUGCUUCACUUCUUCCUCGGCAUCCGCGUCACGCGCACGCUGGCCGGCUUCUUCCUCUGUCAGCAGCAGUAUGCCGCCGAUAUCCUGGACCGCGCUGGCAUGGACACUUGUCGGCCAUCGCCCACGCCGAUCGACACGAAGAGCAAGCUGCCCACCGCCGAUGGGCCUCGUGUCGACGACCCCUCCGCCUACCGCAGCAUCGCCGGCGCCCUGCAGUACCUAACGAUCACACGGCCCGAGCUUGCCUACGCCGUCCAACAGAUCUGCUUGCAUAUGCAAGAUCCCCGGGAGUGCCAUCUCGGGUUGAUCAAGCGUGUGCUGCGGUACGUGCGCGGCACGCCGGCGCUCGGGCUCCAUCUGCGCGCCUCGCGUACUCUGGACCUGCGCGCGUUCACGGACGCGGACUGGGCGGGCUGUCCAGACACCCGUCGCUCUACCUCCGGAUUCUGCAUCUACCUCGGUGACGCGCUUGUCUCCUGGUCGUCCAAACGCCAGGCCGUCGUCUCUCGCUCCAGUGCAGAGGCCGAGUACCGCGGUGUCGCCAACGCCGUCGCUGAAUGCAUCUAG
rnacentral:rRNA from 1 species